UAGGGAAUCUUCCGCAAUGGGCGAAAGCCUGACGGAGCAACGCCGCGUGAGUGAUGAAGGGUUUCGGCUCGUAAAACUCUGUUAUUAGGGAAGAACAAAUGUGUAAGUAACUGUGCACGUCUUGACGGUACCUAAUCAGAAAGCCACGGCUAACUACGUGCCAGCAGCCGCGGUAAUACGUAGGUGGCAAGCGUUAUCCGGAAUUAUUGGGCGUAAAGCGCGCGUAGGCGGUUUCUUAAGUCUGAUGUGAAAGCCCACGGCUCAACCGUGGAGGGUCAUUGGAAACUGGGAUACUUGAGUGCAGAAGAGGAAAGUGGAAUUCCAUGUGUAGCGGUGAAAUGCGCAGAGAUAUGGAGGAACACCAGUGGCGAAGGCGACUUUCUGGUCUGUAACUGACGCUGAUGUGCGAAAGCGUGGGGAUCAAACAGG
rnacentral:rRNA from 1 species